rnacentral:rRNA from 1 species
GACGAACGCUGGCGGCGUGCUUAACACAUGCAAGUGGAGCGACGAACCAGGGCUUGCCCUGGGGCAGAGCCGCGAACGGGUGAGUAACACGUGGGUUACCUGCCUCGAUGACCGGGACAACCCGAGGAAACUCGGGCUAAUACCGGAUGUGCCCGCAAGGGGAAAGGAAGCUUCGGCCUCCGCAUCGAGAUGGGCCCGCGGCCCAUUAGCUUGUUGGUGAGGUAACGGCUCACCAAGGCUUCGAUGGGUAGCUGGUCUGAGAGGACGAUC